rnacentral:rRNA from 1 species
UACGUAGGGGGCUAGCGUUGUCCGGAAUCAUUGGGCGUAAAGAGCGCGUAGGCGGCUGGAAUAGUCCGGUGUGAAAUCCACGGGCUUAACCUGUGAAUGCCGCUGGAAACUGUCUGGCUAGAGUCCGGAAGGGGCGAGUGGAAUUCCUGGUGUAGCGGUGAAAUGCGCAGAUAUCAGGAGGAACACCAAUGGCGAAGGCAGCUCGCUGGGACGGUACUGACGCUGAGGCGCGAAAGCGUGGGGAGCGAACAGG